rnacentral:rRNA from 1 species
UACGUAGGGGGCAAGCGUUGUCCGGAAUCAUUGGGCGUAAAGAGCGUGUAGGCGGUUCGGUAAGUCCGCUGUGAAAGUCCAGGGCUCAACCCUGGAAUGCCGGUGGAUACUGCCGGGCUAGAGUCCGGAAGAGGCGAGUGGAAUUCCUGGUGUAGCGGUGAAAUGCGCAGAUAUCAGGAGGAACACCGAUGGCGAAGGCAGCUCGCUGGGACGGUACUGACGCUGAGACGCGAAAGCGUGGGGAGCAAACGGG